rnacentral:rRNA from 1 species
GAUGAACGCUAGCUACAGGCUUAACACAUGCAAGUCGAGGGGAAACGAUAUUGGAAGCUUGCUUCCGAUAGGCGUCGACCGGCGCACGGGUGAGUAACGCGUAUCCAACCUGCCCAUCACUUGGGGAUAACCUUGCGAAAGUAAGACUAAUACCCAAUGACGUCUCUAGAAGACAUCUGAAAGAGAUUAAAGAUUUAUCGGUGAUGGAUGGGGAUGCGUCUGAUUAGCUUGUUGGCGGGGUAACGGCCCACCAAGGCGACGAUCAGUAGGGGGUAUGAGAGGAAGGUCCCCCACAUUGGAACUGAGACACGGUCCAAACUCCGACGGGAGGCAGCAGUGAGGAAUAUUGGUCAAUGGGCGAGAGCCUGAACCAGCCAAGUAGCGUGCAGGAAGACGGCCCUAUGGGUUGUAAACUGCUUUUAUAAGGGAAUAAAGUGGGAGUCGUGACUCAUUUUGCAUGUACCUUAUGAAUAAGGACCGGCUAAUUCCGUGCCAGCAGCCGCGGUAA